rnacentral:lncRNA from 1 species
AAAUUUUAGGGAAAAAUACCAACAACUCUAGGAUUAAAGAGUAGUUUUCAUAAAUAAGGGGGUUAAAUUUAAAAUUCAAAUUUCAUGUGUUAAUUACAAUUAUUGAUUUAAUAUUAUAUUAAAUAAAUAUAUUACUAAUAAUUCAAUCCACCACAUCCAAUCCUUCACUCCCACACACACUACCACUCUCAUCCUCUCUCUCUCUUGCUUUAUAUCUCAUUCUUCUUCCCCUUUCUCUCUCCCUGACUAUAUAUUUUGUAUAUCUAUCAUCAAUUCGACAACCACCCACCACGACGAUGUCGUGAGAGCUACUGAUGAUGACUUGCAACUUGCGGUGAGGCGUGCCAUCAACAGAAGAAGGCAUUCUAAGGUGAAUUUCCAACUACCGAGGGAUCUACAUCUGGUGUCGGAUCCAUUCAAAGCCUCAGUAGAAAGUGUGAAUAAGAUGGGAUCGGAGGAUGAUCUGUACGAGUCUUGUGUUUUUCAAAGUUGUUAGUGGUCCUUCUGUUAUGGUGUGAUGCCCGUGAUGUGGUGGUGGUUAGUAUUUGUUAAAGGUGUUGGUGGAAGUGAUCGUGAUGGUGUUUGUUUUUGUGGAUUUGAAGUAAAGGUCGACUGGAGUUGAAAGUGGUAGUGGUGGUGGCAAUGAGUGGUCAUGGAUUGUGGUGUUGGUCUUUGGUGUAUGUAGAUUUAUUUGUGAUGAUCCUAUGUGAUUAAAUAUGUGUUUAUUGUGACCCGAUGUGACUAACUUUGUCUUCAUUGUGACUGUCAGUAACCAGAUUAAUGGUGAGUCGCAAAUUCGACGAAUUUGGUCAUAGACAGUUACACUAAAGAUAAAUUUGAUCACAAUUAGUCACAUCUAAUACAUGUCUGUGAUUGUAGUAUUUAUGGUCAUAGAUUUGAGUUGAAGGUGAUAGUAGUGGUGCAUUAGAGGUGAUGUGUUGGUGACUAGUGGUGGAUUGUGUUGUUGUAAUGCGGUGUGUGUAGAUUUGUUCGUGGUAACCCUCCAUGAUCAAGUAUGUGUUUAUUAUGACUAGUUGUAACCAAUUUUGCAUUAAUUGUGACUUGUUGUAAUUUGGUCACAUACCUUCACCGUUAAGAUUGAUUUUGUUACAAAGUCACAUAUAAACCAGGUAUAGUCACAAACUAUAAAUUUUAUCACAG